GACGAACGCUGGCGGCGUGCUUAACACAUGCAAGUCGAACGGUAAGGCCCUUCGGGGUACACGAGUGGCGAACGGGUGAGUAACACGUGGGUGAUCUGCCCUGCACUUCGGGAUAAGCCUGGGAAACUGGGUCUAAUACCGGAUAGGACCACUGCCUGCAUGGGUGGUGGUGGAAAGCUUUUGCGGUGUGGGAUGGGGCCGCGGCCUAUCAGCUUGUUGGUGGGGUGAUGGCCUACCAAGGCGACGACGGGUAGCCGGCCUGAGAGGGUGACCGGCCACACUGGGACUGAGAUACGGCCCAGACUCCUACGGGAGGCAGCAGUGGGGAAUAUUGCACAAUGGGCGCAAGCCUGAUGCAGCGACGCCGCGUGAGGGAUGACGGCCUUCGGGUUGUAAACCUCUUUCAGCACCGACGAAGCGCAAGUGACGGUAGGUGCAGAAGAAGGACCGACCAACUACGUGCCAGCAGCCGCGGUAA
rnacentral:rRNA from 1 species